rnacentral:rRNA from 1 species
AGGGUUUGAUCAUGGCUCAGAACGUACGCUGGCGGCACGCCUAACACAUGCAAGUCGAACGAAGUAGCAAUACUUAGUGGCAGACGGGUGAGUAACAUGUAGGUAUCUGCCCUUUGGCCUGGAAUAACACGAGGAAACUUGUGCUAAUACCGGAUAAGUCUUUACAGAGAAAGCUUUAUGCACCAUUGGAUGAGCCUGCACUUGAUUAGUUUGUUGGUGGGGUAAUGGCCUACCAAGACUGUGAUCAAUAGCUGAUUUGAGAGGAUGAUCAGCCACAUUGGGACUGAGACACGGCCCAAACUCCUACGGGAGGCAGCAGUGGGGAAUCUUGCACAAUGGAGGAAACUCUGAUGCAGCGAUGCCGCGUGAGUGAAGAAGGCCUUUGGGUUGUAAAGCUCUUUCGUCGGGGAAGAAAAUGACUGUACCCGAAUAAGAAGGUCCGGCUAACUUCGUGCCAGCCGCCGCGGUAAUAC